rnacentral:misc_RNA from 1 species
AAAAAAAGUAGUCGAAUUGAGAACCUCCUCUUUUUGGAGACGGUUAAGAUACAAUUUUGUCAGCGUGGUUCUAUACAUAAAAAGCAGUAAGGCAGAAUCAAUAUAUAAAAAAAUAAAACGAACGCUUGUAUCAAAUCCAUUUAUUGAGUAAAUAAUUGAACAGUGUGAUAUAUAUAAUUUAACUUGAUAUACACGUCGCAGUAUACGUUACACAGUAGUCGUAAACAUUCAUUACUUACAGACCUUUUAUAAAAAUAUAAACUACACGAGGUACUUGCGCCCAAAAUAACCCUGUUUUUAAGAUGCCUCACUUUCAAUAUUUUAUAUUUUAUGAGUUCGAAUUAGUUCAAAUAUCGCUCCAAUGCUCGGUUAAUACUAUCGACAACUGCAAAUUCAUAUCAAAAGAACAAAGGCGCCAUCUUCACAGUGAUUAACAGUUUGUCAAUGAAAUUGCAAAUGGCGGCUUAAAACCUCAUGUUUACAAACUUGUUUUAUAUUAUAGAAAAAAUAUAUAUUAUUAGAAAAAAAAAAAAACUGCGUGUUUCUUUUUAAAUACAAAGUUACUUACACUUAUGGCCACUACUGAGAAGGUAAGUGUCAGUUUAACUAUCUGGUAAAGUCCUUUUAAGGCCCACUACAAGGGCUUCUAAGAUGACCCAAGAUUUAUAGAUCUUAAAAAAUCAUAGUUUCUUUGGAACAUUUAAGAAACUAUAGGAAUAUUUGUGGCUAUUUGUAAGACAAAGUUACUAACUAGUAUUGAAGUAGACAACUGAAACUUACUUUAAAAAUAAGUCGAUACCUACCAAGUUUCAUUUAUUUUUUAUCAGGUUGUACAAAAUGGAAUCAACCAAAAAGAAAAAUCGCGGUGAACGGAAUGUGCAAGAGCUUAAAUCAGCUAUUGAAUCAGUACAAAAAGCUAUUUGUCGCAACGAGACAGUAGCUACUUUCAUGCAGAUAUGCGACAAUGUAUUGUGUAAUGCAAUGUAUUGUUUGGUAUUUGUGGUAUAGAAGGUAUAGAAGAAUAUUUAUGCCCAGAAUGUAACUAAAAGCAUAAUAUUAAAACAGACGUUUCUAUUUCAACGUUUUUUCCAUACUCUUAAUAAGGCCCACCGACAUUAUGAAGAUUUUUUAAUGCAAUUCUAUUUAAUUUCUAAUUUCUCUAUAAAAGUUAUCAUAAGAAUAACAUUACAAGUGUUUUUUAAGAGAGUUUGUAGGAAGAGUAAAGACCUAAGUUGGUCCACUGUCCAAUUUACAAACAAAAAACUACUGUAACCGACUGAUUACCUAAGAAUCUCAUAGGUUAUGCUUUACGUACAUGCAUAUAUUUUGUUUGUAUUACAAGCUCCAAUAAGUUUAUGUUAGAAAUUCGAAAACCUUUCCUUUAUAAGUGAGAGAUAAUUGUCCAGCAGUGGGUUUAUUUACAGUUACCGAAAAAAGGCAGACUCACGUCCAGCUUUUGCCCCGGUGUUGCGAGCGCGAGUACCAAGGCGCCAUGAGCACGUAGGAGGCUUGUGCGGCGGAGGCGGGCUUACACGGCGGGGGGCGGGCCUUGUUCGGCGUGGGGCGGGUCUGGUGCAGAAGAGGCGGGGCGUCAGUCCCGCGGGCGCGGGGGGCGGGACAGCGAGUACGUCUCCGGUUGGAAGGUGGGCGGGCACUGCAAGUGCGGGUAUUGCGCUGACGGUUCGGAACGGUUGCUCUC